GAUGAACGCUGGCGGCGUGCCUAAUACAUGCAAGUCGAGCGAACGGACGAGAAGCUUGCUUCUCUGAUGUUAGCGGCGGACGGGUGAGUAACACGUGGAUAACCUACCUAUAAGACUGGGAUAACUUCGGGAAACCGGAGCUAAUACCGGAUAAUAUUUUGAACCGCAUGGUUCAAAAGUGAAAGACGGUCUUGCUGUCACUUAUAGAUGGAUCCGCGCUGCAUUAGCUAGUUGGUAAGGUAACGGCUUACCAAGGCAACGAUGCAUAGCCGACCUGAGAGGGUGAUCGGCCACACUGGAACUGAGACACGGUCCAGACUCCUACGGGAGGCAGCAGUAGGGAAUCUCCCGCAAUGGGCGAAAGCCUGACGGAGCAACGCCGCGUGAGUGAUGAAGGUCUUCGGAUCGUAAAACUCUGUUAUUAGGGAAGAACAUAUGUGUAAGUAACUGUGCACAUCUUGACGGUACCUAAUCAGAAAGCCACGGCUAACUACGU
rnacentral:rRNA from 1 species